AGAGCUGCGGUCCCUGUGCGCGGGAUCGCGUCGGGGGCGGGGCGGCGACAGGCCUUCAACGUCAAACUGCUGACGGGCGCCGUUACGACCCGCGCUCCCGUGCGCUCCUCAAAUUCUGAGACGCGUGGCUGGAGAGCGGGCGGCCCUGGCCCCGGAGAGCCGUGUUCCCGCGGGAUCUCGUCGCGGGCGUGAGGCGGGGCCGGCCUGGGCCGGUCAUCCCUGGCUGGCGCGACCCGCAGCCUGUCCGGGAAGCCGUUGCGACAUGCGGGCUGGGAACCGCCUCACCUCCAGGGGGGACCGCGGCGGCCCGCUAGACUCUGGUCGGGUCUGGAGUAUUGGGCCCUCUGGCCGGACUCGGUGCUCCUCAGGCCCCAGCGCCCGGCACUGAGCCUCGCAUCCACAUUCGCAGAGUAAACCCAACAAGUGUUGAAUGAAUGAGGUUCCCCGGGCCCCGGCUGUCACUGGGCUCUGCGCCAGGCCAAGAGCCGAAGGCGGGGGAGGAAGAUGUCGAAAUGGGCGGGAUGAUUCACAGAUGACGGCCGGUGGCGAGGCGGGGCUGGAGGCCGCAUCCCAAAGGCAGCAGGGAAGUGCGGCGGCUGUGGGGAAGCUCGGACGCACGGCCUGGCCGAGUCUGAAGCAUCAGUAUUUUGUCCCUGAGCCGGCGCGCUGAUGGGUCCCCCGCCUGGCGAUGAGGGCUUCUCCCUCCCUCGGGUCAGCCCGGGUCCUGAGAGGCAAGGCCAGCGAUUCCCGGCCUUAGGACCUCCUGCUCUAGGGAGCACGGGCGUCUUCUUCCAUUUGCCUUCCCCGAGCGUGUUGGCACAAGCUGCCCGCGGUUUCCAGCUCUGUCUUCUCUGUUUUACCCAGAUGAUGCAACUGUGGACUUCUCCAUCUGUUCAUAGGUUUUCCUUGGAUAGGAAAGAUGUUUUCCUUUUUUCUUUCUAAAGUUUAGCUCUUCUCUGGGCUUCCUUUUUAAAAACUUUUUCUACUCUCUUCAGCAGUUGUUAUUAACCUUUAGGUCGCGACCGUUUGGAAAAUAAUAAAACUACGAAUUCUCUUCUCCUACUUCCACCUCCCAUCCCCUGUGUGCACUCAAAAUUUUGCAUAUCAUUUCUGCGUUUCAGAGUCCCUGAAGGUGCCAUGUGGACACCCUAGGGGUCCAUUAACCUGGUUAACCUCUCCCUGGCCGGCGCAGUGGCUCAUGCCUGUGACCCCAACACUGUGAAGGCCGAGGUGGGACGAUUUAUUGAGCUCAGGAGUUCGAGACCAGCCUGGACAACAUGGCAAAACCCCGUCUCUACAAAAUAAUAAAUACAAAAAAGUACAAAAAUUCAAAAAUUAGCUGGGUAUGGUGGUGUGCACCUGUAGUCUCAGCUACUUGGGGGAGGAUUGCUUGCGCCAGGGAGGUCGAAGCUGCAGUGAGCCGUGUUCAUGCCACUACACUCCAGCCUGGGUGACAAAGCAAGACUUUGUCUCAAAAAAAUUUUUUUAAAAGGAACUUCUCCCCCACAGCAUGUUCAGUCUCUCCUUUUCUCUAGCAUAUUUAGCUUGAGAAAUGAAUAGGUCUCACAAAAACCCAUUCAAUCCUGCUAGAGUACUAAUUCCCUUUACUGCCAGAUUACUCCACUAAUGACCUAUCCACCUCUAUGUCCUUUCUCUCCUUAAGCUCUUUACAUUUUUCACUCUUUUAUUCAUUGGUCAUAAAUGACCUUUCCAAAUCCAUCGGUCUUUUUCCUAUUCCCGUUUUUCUUAACAGAGAUAACACUUGCCGCCACACCACAUUGGCACUUUUUACUAGCUUCAGAAACCACUCUACCUUUUAGACAUCUCAGUCGCUUACACUUCUCUAGCCAUUGAAGUGGAACAUCCCUAAACGUUUAAUGCUUCUUGGUCAUCUUUAAUACCUUAGAGAACUUUGCCAUUCCAAACCAGUUGUCCUCAUUGGAACCCUAUCUUUAUUUCCCUUAUUGCAUACUUUUAACUGAAAUUUCCAUGGGAACAUUCAGUAAUGUUUAUUGUGUACCAACUGUGUACUUGAAGCUGGGGAUACAGGACAGACAUAGUCCAUGUUCUCAUGGAGCUUUUUAAUGAUGAGGGUGGGGAGGUGGGACAGAGAAAAAUACACACAAAAAAUGUCAGCUCUGGAUGCUAUGCUGACCUUUGAAAUAGGGUGGUAUGAUAUAGUGUGACUGGGUGGCUACAUUUGUAUGGCCAAGGAAGGCCUUUCUGAGGAGACGACAUGUAUGGUGAGUUCUGAAUGAUAGGCAGGAGCCAGUCAUGACAGACUUGGAGAAGGGCAUGCCAGCAGAAGGAACAGUAGGUACGACAACCCUAAGGUGAGAACAAGGUUGGUGCAUGAGGAACAGAAAGAAGGCCAGUGUGGCUGGAGCAUGGUGAGUGAGUGGGGAGGGAAUACAACACGAAGUUGGAAAGAUAAACAAGGGGUGAAUAUCCACCUUGAUUUCUGACUCAGCGUGUCCAUUCCAAGCUCAGCCUUUCCACUCCCCACCCCAACCCAUUCCUCCAAAAUGUUCGUUUUCCAUGAAAGUCUUCAUUAUUUGCCCAAUAGAUGAGACUCUAAAGCUGGAGUCUUCCUUGACUGCCCAUUCAGAAUCAUCAUCAUUCUGAACUGUUUCUUCUGUUUAUGCUCUCCUUUUCCUUCGUAUUGAUAUACUUUCCCUGAAUCUGAUUACAUCUGUAUUGUCAUAACCCCUUGAAAGGCCUGCCUGCCUCGAGGAUCCCCUAGCUUCAGCAGUAUUUUGAUUCUCCUCCUUCCAGGUACACAGUAGGAUGUUUUUUCCACCUCCUUGAAGAUAGGCAUGGCCCUGGGAUUUGCUUUGGCCAGUGAAAUACGAGGGAAGCACAAGAGUCACACAUUUCCUCCUCUGCCACAUGACUAGUGAUUGUUCAAAUGGUGGAGACUCUGUCAGCCUGGGGCCCUGGUGAGAAUGACAUGAAGCAGAGUUCCCUACUUGUUACCUGCUUGCUCCCAGACAGACUUCAGCAUCAGUGAGAAAUAAAUCUUAGUUGUUUCAAGACACAGAGCUUUUAGGAUUAUUCCACACCAUAGCAUAAACUAGCCCAGUACUUCUGUGAUGAUAAAUGAUGUUACCUGAAGAAUUUGUUAAAAUGCAGACUGCAGUUCUGUAGGUCUGGUUGGGGCCUAAGAUUCUUCCUUCCCUCUCUCCCUCCCUCCUCCCUCCCUUCCUUCCUUCUCUUUCUUCCUUCCUUUCUUCUCUUUCUUUCUUCCUUUCUCCUUCCUUCCUUUUUUCCUUCCUUCCUGUCUUCUCUUUUUCUUUCUUUCUUCCUUUCUCCUUCCUUCCUUUUUUUCUUCCUUCCUUCUUUCUUUGUUUCUUUCUUUCUUUUUCUUUCUUCUUUCUUUUUUCUCUCUUUCUUUUUCUUUCUCUCUCUCUCUUUCUUUUGUAGAGACAGGGUCUUGCUAUCUUGCCCAAAAUGGUCUUAGAACUCCUAGGCUCAAGCAAUCCUCUUGUCUCAGCUUCCCAAAGUGCUGAGAUUACAGGUGUGAGCCACCACGCCUACCUAGAUUCUGCAUUUUUGACAAGCUCUCAAGUGAUGCUGAUGCUGCUAGACCUUGGACCACACUUUGAAUAGUAAGCACCUAACCUGCACACAAACCCAUACACACUGUCGUACAUCUCACCAGCACUAAACCUGCCUAAAAAAUUAUAAAAGUAAGCAGGCCAGGCACGGUGGCUCAUGCUUGUAAUCCCAGCACUUUGGGAGACCGAGGCAGGUAGAUCACUUGAGGUCAGGAGUUUGAGAUCAGCCUGGCCAACAUGGUGAAACCCUGUCUCUACUAAAAAUACAAAAAUUAGCCAGGCGUGGUGGCGUGUGCCUGUAAUCCCAGCUACUCAGGAGGCUGAGGUGGGAGAAUCACUUGAACCCGGGAUGCAGAGGUUGCAGUGAGCCAAGAUUGGGCCA
rnacentral:lncRNA from 1 species